rnacentral:rRNA from 1 species
AGCGCGGAUCUUCAGAGAUUAGAGUUUGAUCAUGGCUCAGAACGAACGCUGGCGGCGUGGAUAAGACAUGCAAGUCGAACGAUUACUGUUGGGUAGCAAUAUUCGGCAGUGAGAGUGGCGCAAGGGUGCGUAACACGUGGGUAAUUUGCCGUGAAGUCUGGGAUAACUUGCUGAAAGGCGAGCUAAUACCGGAUGUGAUUACUGGAAGGCAUCUUCCAGUACUUAAAGUCGGGGACCGCAAGGCCUGACGCUUCUCGAUAAGCCCGCGGCCUAUCAGCUAGUUGGUGAGGUAACGGCUCACCAAGGCUAAGACGGGUAGCUGGUCUGAGAGGACGACCAGCCACACUGGAACUGAGACACGGUCCAGACACCUACGGGUGGCAGCAGUCGAGAAUUUUUCUCAAUGGGCGAAAGCCUGAAGGAGCGACGCCGCGUGGGGGAUGAAUGGCUUCGGCCCGUAAACCCCUGUCAUUUGCGAUCAAACCUUACGACCUAACACGUCGUGAGCUGAUAGUAGCGGAAGAGGAAGGGACGGCUAACUCUGUGCCAGCAGCCGCGGUAAUACAGAGGUCCCAAGCGUUGUUCGGAUUCACUGGGCGUAAAGGGUGCGUAGGCGGUCGGGUAAGUCUGACGUGAAAUCUUCAAGCUCAACUUGGAAACUGCGUCGGAUACUAUUCGGCUAGAGGAAUGGAGGGGAGACUGGAAUACUUGGUGUAGCAGUGAAAUGCGUAGAUAUCAAGUGGAACACCAGUGGCGAAGGCGAGUCUCUGGACAUUUCCUGACGCUGAGGCACGAAAGCCAGGGGAGCAAACGGGAUUAGAUACCCCGGUAGUCCUGGCCCUAAACGGUGCGCAUUUGCUGUAAGAGGAAUCGACCCCUUUUGUGGCGAAGCUAACGCGUUAAAUGCGCCGCCUGGGAAGUACGGCCGCAAGGUUAAAACUCAAAGAAAUUGACGGGGGCCUGCACAAGCGGUGGAGUGUGUGGCUUAAUUCGAUGCAACGCGAAGAACCUUACCUGGCCUUGACAUGCAAGUAGUAGAACCCUGAAAGGGGGACGAGGUAGCAAUACCAGCUUGCACAGGUGCUGCAUGGCUGUCGUCAGCUCGUGUCGUGAGAUGUUGGGUUAAGUCCCCGCAACGAGCGCC